AUUGACACCUCUGUGAGUAGA
rnacentral:miRNA from 2 species